CUUCUGCCAAAACCCAAAUUUUCUAUGGUUGACCUCGGAUCAGGUAGGGAUACCCGCUGAACUUAAGCAUAUCAAAA
rnacentral:rRNA from 1 species